UGUAGCUGUCACAGCUAUUAUUCCUGCUCUGGGCUCUCCCUGGGUUGCUGGAUACCUGACUCAAUCAGCCAAAGCUGGGCACAUACCUCACGUCAGGCUCUGCGGUGGCAGCAUGUAGCGGCAACCUCCCGUUUUUGUCAGGCAUCCAGGUCCUUUAGCCUACAGGAAGUGGGCAAGCACAGCCUGGGGACGUGCAGCCAGAAUGCCCUUGGUGCAAUGUCUGCUGAAGAUGACCUCCCAGUGUCCAUGGCCAUGGUUGUACCUGGCAGCACGGUGUGCACUGGAUCCUGCCAGCAGCUGAGGAAUGCGCUGACUGAUGGAGCCUGGGAGACCUGGAGCCUCCCAGGUUAGAGGGGCAAUCUCCUCCAUGGUGGAAGUCAGCAGAAAUCAGCAGUGCUCUGACAGGAGCAUAGCAUUUUUGUUCUCCUCUGCAGUGAAGGACCUUGUGCAAUGAGGGUAAUCAUUAAAGAUCUCUUAUUGCAUCCUUAAUGCAUUCAUAAUUCAUGAUAUUUUGAGAAGUAUACUGCUUUUAUAUGUGUGGCACAACAUUAAAAAAGCCCACUUUGAAGUAUUUUCCUACAUGUUUUACUGAUCACAAAAUAGAGGCAUUUCAGAAGUGUUGUUCCACAAACCAUUUUAGGCUCUAUUUUAAACUAGCUACCUUACCUGCUAUUGUUUUGUUAGAUUCUCUGAGAAAGCAACAAGUGAGAAUGUUUUUUAAUGAAAAUCCGUGACUACCUUUUUGAUUAAACCUCAAAUGCCUAAUGUCCUCUGCUGCUGCACUUUAAGAUAUAUUUAAUAAAACUCUUCAAAAACCAAGCCCCAGAUCUUAUCUGCAGAUCGACUGCCCAAUGCACGAAGAGCUCUUGCAUCACAGUUUGUUUUCCUCACUGCAGUCUCUGGUCCCCAGUCUGAGAGUGGAGCUGCUAAUAUGAAGUAAAAGGUCCUGACUUUGCUCUAUUUCUUGAUGUCUGCCAUCACUUGCUGUUGUUCCAGCUGGAUGUCACAGUAAGCAGCUACACUUUCUUCUCCUUCUUCCUAAAAGUGGACAUAAGUGGUGGUGAUGAAGACAUCUCUGAGGAGGACAAAGGGAGCACAGGGAAGCUUCCAGCCUCUCUGCAUAACAGGAGGUGAACAAUUGCUGCCCGGUUGAACAGGCUAAGUCUGUGGGACUUGAAACUUGUCCCUCUGCUGCAACAAAUGGCUAUAUAUAGCCUGGGGUGGAAAUCAAACUUGAGGAUGAGUGUUUGGAUAGGAAUAGGGAAGCAGAAGUUGUCAUCUCAGGAAACAAAAUCUUGAUCAUCUCUGAUCUUAAUGUCCUUUUGAGUAUCGCUGAAAAGAAUAACUAUUUAUCACCUGGGUGAAUACCUCUUCCUACCUGUAAGUCCCUGGCUGUGUUAAGUUGGCAAUCACAGUGAUAAUCAGAUGAUGCUGUCCUGGCUGUCCCUGGCAGUGGAGCUCCUGCAUGUGGUUUCAAUCCUACGGGAAAAUAAUGACUAUUGUGAUCAUCCCCCCCACACACAUACACAGGCAUAUCACAAACAGCAUGAUGUCAGGUUCAGUUCCUGCAAACUGUUACUGUUGCAGUGGAUUCUCAUAUGGCAGACUGCAAUAAAUUCAUUUUCUUAUUAAAAAGUCAAGGGAAUAAAACAUGCUUUCUGUGAUUAACAAAGAAACCAGAUGUUCAAUAAUUAUUGAAGUGCAGGCAAAUUCAAAGCCAAAUAAAGCAAGCAUGGCUCGA